rnacentral:rRNA from 1 species
GAUGAACGCUGGCGGCGUGCCUAAUACAUGCAAGUCGAACGCAUAGCGAGAGGUGCUUGCACCUUUCAAGUGAGUGGCGAACGGGUGAGUAACACGUGGACAACCUGCCUCAAGGCUGGGGAUAACAUUUGGAAACAGAUGCUAAUACCGAAUAAAACUUAGUGUCGCAUGACACAAAGUUAAAAGGCGCUUCGGCGUCACCUAGAGAUGGAUCCGCGGUGCAUUAGUUAGUUGGUGGGGUAAAGGCCUACCAAGACAAUGAUGCAUAGCCGAGUUGAGAGACUGAUCGGCCACAUUGGGACUGAGACACGGCCCAAACUCCUACGGGAGGCUGCAGUAGGGAAUCUUCCACAAAGGGCGAAAGCCUGAUGGAGCAACGCCGCGUGUGUGAUGAAGGCUUUCGGGUCGUAAAGCACUGUUGUAUGGGAAGAACAGCUAGAAUAGGAAAUGAUUUUAGUUUGACGGUACCAUACCAGAAAGGGACGGCUAAAUACGUG